AUUGAACGCUGGCGGCAGGCCUAACACAUGCAAGUCGAACGGUAACAGGAAGCAGCUUGCUGCUUUGCUGACGAGUGGCGGACGGGUGAGUAAUGUCUGGGAAACUGCCUGAUGGAGGGGGAUAACUACUGGAAACGGUAGCUAAUACCGCAUAACGUCGCAAGACCAAAGAGGGGGACCUUCGGGCCUCUUGCCAUCGGAUGUGCCCAGAUGGGAUUAGCUAGUAGGUGGGGUAACGGCUCACCUAGGCGACGAUCCCUAGCUGGUCUGAGAGGAUGACCAGCCCCACUGGAACUGAGAGACGGUCCCGACUCCUACGGGAGGCAGCAGUGGGGAAUAUUGCACACUGGGCGCAAGCCUGAUGCAGCCAUGCCGCGUGUAUGAAGAAGGCCUUCGGGUUGUAAAGUACUUUCAGCGGGGAGGAAGGGAGUAAAGUUAAUACCUUUGCUCAUUGACGUUACCCGCAGAAGAAGCACCGGCUAACUCCGUG
rnacentral:rRNA from 1 species